CGAUGAGUUAAAAGAAAAAAUGGUUCACGAUGCAGAUCGAGCGGCGGCACUCCUAUCGGACCGGGAGCAGGAAGACGGCGGCGAGCACAUAAAGGGCGCGGGCGGCACACUGCCCGGCCGAGAGGAGGAGCAGGAGGGGAGGCGCUGAGGCGGGGCCAUAAGCGUCGGACGCGCUCGCUCGCCCGCAAUCAACACGGAAGCAGUGGCCGUCCAUGGCGGCUCGGGUCGAUGCAGGAGGACGAGGGGAGGAGCUCGCGAGGGCCGGCACCGGGAAUGGAGCGGAGGCGGGUGCAUCUGGCGAUUCCGCAGGGGCUGCGGCGACGAGAGGCUCCAUGGGCGGUGACCUGCGGGGUUCAAGCGACGGCUGCCUUAAAGGUUGGGCGGCGACUCUCUGUAGAGAAGGAAUAGGAGGAGAGGAAGAAGGAAUAGAAGGAGAGGAAGAGGAAGAAGGCAGGUCACUCAAAGAGCAUUCAUCUCUUGCCCCCUCUCUCCUCUGGCCUGGCAUGAUGUGCGCGGCUGGAUGUGUGAUGUGCGUCCAUGUUCAUGUGAUCUUCAAGACAGCAAGGACCAAUUGCACCCUUGGUUUUGUUUCUGUCCUGUGAACCAAUCUAAGAUGGCCUCUAAGAAGCACUUGGCUGGUACAGAGAAAUUUUCUGUAGUCUUAAAAUAAACCAUCCUAAUCUUCUAUGAUGUGCUUUUUCGAGCAGGAAGGGGAGGUGAUGUGCGCCAGGUACGUGGUCGAGGAAGUGAACACCAGUUUUAGCUAUGUAGUGUUCUGUGGUGAAUGAGAAUGUUUCAUAGUUUAUUAUUAAUCUAAAUUUUGGUUUUAAGCUUUUGCUUCACAGAUAUUGUUGAGUAACUUUUUUCCAAACUAUGUACUAUACAUGUGGAUUUUUUUGCGGGGAUACUGUAUGUACACUUCUGAGUACAAAUUCUAAAUUCGUAUAUGAAACCUUAAUUCAACUCCUACCAUACAAAACUAAUUUUGUGGUUCAGUUGUUUAAGAGCUCAAAUAGGAUGUGUACUGGAACCUCAAGGAAAACAAAAAGAAGAGCUGGGGAAGGAGCUAGAGAUGCAGCCGCCACAAGGUCGAAACGGCCACAUAGAUCCUUUUAUUCUGCAACUAUGACAACUGCGACAAGACCUUUGUUGAUGUGGCUGCCUUGAGGAAGCAUGCUCAUGUACAUGGCGAGAGGGGAUGUAUGCUUUUGAGUAGCCCGGCUAUUGGAAGGUACCUCUAGCUAAUAUGAAUGAAUGCUUGCAUUACCAAUGCAUACACCAACGUUGUUGAACUUUCAUGUUUACUAGCAUUGACAGACUUUUUCAGUAAUUUCGGGCUUUUUAUAAAGGACAUUUCUCUAUUUGGCAUAGAUUAAUGAUUUUGGUAAUCCAUCCAUCCAAUCCAGAUGCCGCUGAUGAACAAAUAGUGAUCCAGUUUGGUCGGAUUAGAUAUAAGUUUGGUCUCCGCUCGAGCUCCUGCUGUUGCUUGGAUUUUGCUUUUCCCCUCUCAUCCAACCGCAGGGGCCUGUUAUUUUUUUUCAUCUUGACGUUGUUGUGGUCGCCCAGCCGAUCAAAUCCUUGCGCACACACAACAACUCAACUCCACAGUCUGCACGCAGCAGCUCAACACCACGGUCUGUAUGCCACCGCCGUCUCUUGAGCAGCUCGAUGGGCGAUUUAUGUUAUGUAUCUCUAUAUGAUAAUCCCUCCAUAGCCAUGUAGAAAAAGGCUUCAAUUUGAUUUUGGUUCAGUUUAAUUCAGCGUGGUGAUGCUCACCCUAAUAAGUUGGUGUGUUGUUAUACUGUAUUGAAUAAAUGAUGGGCACUGAAUUUUCCAUGGAUUGAGCAGAGGAGUAGAAUCUCACCUACUUGCUAGCUUCCUACUUGAGAUAGUGAAGACACUCAUUUUCA